UGUGGAGGCCCGAACCAGUGUCAGCUGCAAGUGGCUUGGAUGAGUUGUGGCUAGGGGUGAUAUGCCAAUCGAACACGGAGAUAGCUGGUUCUCCCCGAAAUAUAUCUAGGUAUAGCCUGUGUUUUUAAUCUACAGGGGUAGAGCUCUGAAUGGAUCGUUGCGGAUUUAUCCGUAGCAUUCAAUCAAACUCCAAAUACUGUUUUGUAUAAACACAGAGUCAGUCCGUGAGGGCUAAGCCUUACUGGGCUAAAGGGAAACAUCCCAGAUCCAAAGCUAAGGUCCCUAAGUGUAUCUUAAGUGUCAAAGGUAGUGUGCACGUUUAGACAGCAAGGAGGUUGGCUCAGAGGCAGCCAUCCUUUAAAGAAAGCGUAAUAGCUCACUUGUCGAAGUCCUGCAUUGCAGGACGGGCGUGUGUGCGCCGACAAUGUACCGGGGCUAAAGAUAUCACCGAAGCUUGGAAUUUGUCCGUAGGACAAAUAAAUUUCAAAUCACAAGCACCAAAUAUCAAACAAAUUCUAAUUCUCAAAAUUCUAAAUUCAAAAGUUUAGAACAUUCGAGUUUUGGUAUUAUUUGUAAUUUGGAGUUUGGAAAUUGGAGUUUACUUGCCCUGCGGGCAAGUGGUAGGGGAGCGUUCGUAUUGCAGUGAAGUUUGCGUGUAAACGCGAGUGGAGCGGUACGAAGUGAGAAUGCCGGUAUGAGUAGCGAAACUCGUGUGAGAAUCACGAGCGCCGUAUGUCCAAGGUUUCCUACGCAACGUUCGUCGACGUAGGGUUAGUCGGUCCUAAGGCGAGGCCAGAAGGCGUAGUCGAUGGAUAAGCAGUUAAUAUUCUGCUACUUUGGAAAAAUCGUUAGGAGUGAAGGGAAGACGGAGGAGGAAUGCUUCUGGGUCGAAAUGAUACGGCCCCUAAAAAGUAAAGAAGUGAAAGAUGGAAAACCCGCUUUCAUGUUUAUUUGAGCUUUGAUGGCGAGUCGGCGCAAGCUGGCAAGAGAAAACAUUUCAACUUCCAAGAAAUUCUCCCGUUACCAGAUUUUUCUAAAACCGUACCACAAACCGACACAGGUGGACUGGUAGAGUAUACCAAGGCGAGCGAGAAAACUAUCCUUAAGGAACUCGGCAAUAUAACUGGACGUACCUUUGGUAGAUGUCCUCCCUGUCCGUGGGACAGGAAAUUUCAAGCACCAAGUACCAAAUAUCAAACAAUUACGAAAUUCAAAAUGUUCUAAAUUAAAAAGUUUAGAAUUUAGGAUUUUGAAAAUUAUAAUUUGUUUGGAUUUUGGAAUUUGUAAUUUGGAGUUUUCCGUCCUGCGGAUGGGGCGCAGUUAAAGACGCUAAGCGACUGUUUAACAAAAACACAGGUCUCUGCUAAGAAGAAAUUCGAAGUAUAGGGGCUGACACCUGCCCAGUGCUCGUAAGUUAAUCGUUUGAGGUGAUGUCCGAUGCAAAUCGGACUGAGCUUUGGACGCAAGCUCGGGUGAACGGCAGCAGUAACUAUAACUGUUCUAAGGUAGCGAAAUUCCUUGUCGGGUAAGUUCCGACCCGCACGAAAGGUUGAACGACUUAGCGACUGUCUUGAGGAUAGACUCGGCGAAAUUGCAAUGGCUGUGAAGAUGCGGCCAACUUGCACCAGGACAAAAAGACCCCGUGGAGCUUUACUGCAACUUGGCAUUGUUUCAGUUUUUGAAACUGUAGAGAAUAGGUGGGACCCGCCAACAUUCUUUCGCAAGAAAGUUUGGGCGGGGACAGUGUAAUACCACUCUUUUUGAUGAUUGAAACUUACCUUAUGUCCUAACAAAAAACAGGAUGAGGGACAAUGUCUGGUGGGCAGUUUGACUGGGGCGGUCGCCUCCAAAAGAGUAACGGAGGCGUACAAAGGUCGACUCAAGUCCUACAGAAACGGACUUUUAGAGUGCAAAAGCAUAAGUCGGCUUGACUGUGAGUCGUACAUGACGAGCAGGUGCGAAAGCAGGUUUUAGUGAUCCUUACGUGGCUCAUGGGAGCGCGUAAGCUUAACGGAUAAAAGCUACCCCGGGGAUAACAGGCUGAUCUUCUCCAAGAGUCCAUAUCGACGAGAAGGUUUGGCACCUCGAUGUCGGCUCAGGGUAUCCUCCCGCUGAAGUAGGCGGGAAGGGUUGGGCUGUUCGCCCAUUAAAACCUUACGCGAGCUGGGUUCAGAACGGCGUGAGCCAGUUCGGCCUCUAUCCGGUGCAAGCGAUUUGAUAUUUGAGUGGGGUCACCUCUAGUACGAGAGGACCGAGGUGAGGUAGCCUCUAGUGUGCCAGUUGUUCCAUCAGGAGCACUGCUGGGUAGCUACGCUAUUGACUGAGAAGCGCUGAAAGCAUCUAAGCGCCAAACAGGCCACAAGACUAAAUAUCUAAGAUCCCAGGAAGACUACCUGGUUGAUAGGCGACAAGUGUAAAGCUAGUAAUGGUUGUUCGCGCGUGAGCGCGAGGUUAAUUGGGUCCAUUGG
rnacentral:rRNA from 1 species